CAAGUCGAGCGAGGAAACUUAUAGCAAUAUGAGUUAUUCGAGCGGCGUAAGGGGCAGUAAUACCUGGGAACGUACCCUCGGGUCGGGGAUAGCUGCUAGAAAUGGCGAGUAAUACCCGAUGACACCGUAAGGUCAAAGGCUUGCCGCCCAAGGAGCGGCCCAGGCGAUAUUAGCUAGUUGGUGAGGUAACGGCUUACCAAGGCUUAGAUGUCUAGCGGGUGUGAGAGCACGACCCGCGCCACUGGCACUGAGACACUGGCCAGACACCUACGGGUGGCUGCAGUCGAGAAUCUUCGGCAAUGAGCGCAAGCUUGACCGAGCGACGCCGCGUGCGGGAUGAAGGCCUUCGGGUUGUAAACCGCUUUGGUCCGAGAGAAAGGGUAAAACUUGAUCGAUCGGAGAAACAAGGACGGGCUAAGUUCGUGCCAGCAGCCGCGGUAAGACGAACCGUCCAAACGUUAUUCGGAAUCACUGGGCUUAAAGGGCGCGUAGGCGGCCGAGCGGGUCGCGGGUGAAAUCCUCCAGCUUAACUGGAGAACUGCCCUCGAUACCACUGCGGCUCGAGGAAGGAAGGGGCAAUCGGAACUGUCGGUGGAGCGGUGAAAUGCGUUGAUAUCGACAGGAACGCCGGUGGCGAAAGCGGAUUGCUGGUCCUUUUCUGACGCUGAUGCGCGAAAGCCAGGGGAGCAAACGGGAUUAGAUACCCCGGUAGUCCUGGCCUUAAACGAUGAGAACUAGGUAGUGGGUCCGACCUGGGCACACUGCCGAAGCGAAAGUCUUAAGUUCUCCGCCUGGGGAGUAUGGUCGCAAGGCUGAAACUCAAAGGAAUUGACGGGGGCUCACACAAGCGGUGGAGCAUGUGGCUUAAUUGGAGGCUACGCGAAGA
rnacentral:rRNA from 1 species